rnacentral:SRP_RNA from 1 species
UGUAGGAUAGCUGGGUGGUUAGCCCUCACUUGUACCGCAAACGGGCUAUAUGGCGGAGUGAAGCCUAAUUGAGGCUGAGAAGUUAAUUAUCGGUCUCAGUUUGGACGUUGAUCCUUUGUCUUACAGGGUUAAUGUCUUAGAGAACUAAGUCAGGCCAGGAAUGGAGCAGCUUUAAUCUUUGAUAUUGGCGCUUGUGAGUAGCAAAGGGGAGGAAGAACUGGGGUUAAGCUGGUAGUUGAUUUCUUUGUCGAUUUUAGGUGUCCUGCA